AUGUAGAAUCAAUGGAGGACACAGAAAACAUGAAAGAGUAGAGAAAUAUGACACUACCAAUGGGCAACAAUUGUCUAGCAAUAGAUCCCAAUAAAAAAUAAUUUCACAAAAUUCAAGAUAAAGAAUUCAAAAUAUUGGCUUUGAAUGAAAUGAGAAGCUGAGUAAGAUGAAAGAAAAUCUGAAAUCAAUACAAAGAAAGCAGAAAAUCAAUUAAGAAAAUGAAUGUAAAAUUUACCAAGGUAAUAAAUAUAUUUUAAAAAAACAGAAAUUCUGGAGCUAAAAAUUCAAUGAAGGAAAUACUAAAUACAUUAAACACCUCAAUAGCAGACUAGACCAAGCUGAAGAAAGUCUUUCAGAACUUGAGGACAUGUCUUUUGAAAUAAUUCAGUGUGACAAAAAUAAGAAAAAAAAUAAAAAAGAAUAAACAAAGCUUUUGAGAUAUCUGAGAUAACAUAAAGUGACCACACUUAUCAAUUAUUGGUAUUCCCAAGAGGAAAGAGAGAUCAAAACGUUUAGAAAGCCUAUUUAAGGAACUAAUCUAUGAAAACAUUUCAAGUCUAGCAAGACAAUUAAACAUCCAGAUAUAGGAGGCUCAGAGAGCCUCAGGCAAAUGUAUUGCAAAAAGGACUUCGUCACAUCAUAUUAUAUUUAGAAUGUCUAAUGUCAAAAUGAAAUAAUUUUAAAAUUAGCAAGAGAAAAACAUCUAGUCACCUAUAAGAGAGACUACCUUAGACUAACAGUAGACUUUUCAUCAGAAAUCUAAGAAGCCAGAAGCAAAUGGGAAGACAUUUUCAAAGUAUUGAAAGGAAAACAGUGUCAGCCAAGAAUUGUACAUCCUGCCAGAGCAAGGUUCAUAAAUAAAGAAGAAAUAAGGUAUUUCCUAGAUAAGGAAACACUGAGGGAAUUUGUCACCACUAGACUAGCCCUACAAGAAAUACUCAAAGGGGUGUUAAACAUUAAAAACAAAAGAUCUAUAGUUGCCAUCAGAAAAGUACAUGGAAAUAUAAAACUUACACUUCUUAUAAAACAAUCAUAUGAAGAAGGAAGAGAAUAGAAUUUCAACAAAUGGCAACAGAAUAGAAUUUCAUCAAACCACAAAGACAAGAAGACAGAAAAAAAGUUAUACAGCUUAUAAACAAUUAACAAUAGUACAGGAACAAAGCUUUGCAUCUCAGUUUUAAUCUUGAGUGUAAAUGAGUUAAAAUGUAGCACUUAAAAUACAGACAUUGGCAGAAUGGAUUUUUAAAAAGCAUGAUGCAUCUGUAUGCUGCCUACAAGAAAUUCAUCUUACCCAAAAAGACACAUAUAGGCUGAAAGUAAAGACAUUAAGAAAGAUAUUCCAUGCAAUUUGAAGCAAAGGCCAUCAGGAUUAGCUACACUUAUUUCAGAUAAAACAGACUUUAAAUCAAAAUUGAUAAAAGUGACAAGCAAGAUUAUUACAUAAUGAUAAAGGGAUCAAUUCAGUGAGAAGAUAUAACAUUCUAAAUAUAUGCACCCAACAUCAGAGCACCCAAAUUUACAAAACAAAUAUAACUAGACAUAAAGAAUUAGAGAGCAAUACAUUAAUAGUGGGAGACUUCAACACCUCACUCAGAGUAGUAGACAGAUUGAGACAGAAAAUUAAUAAAGAAACUUUGAACUUAAAUUAGACUUUAGACCAUGUACACUUAAUGGUCAUUUACAGAACAUUCUACUAAAUGAAUGCAGAAUAUAAUUUUUUUAUCAGCAUAUGAAACAUUUUCCAAGACAUACCACAUAUUAGGGCAUAAAGCAAGUCUUAACAUAUUUUUUCAAUUGAUAUUAUAUCAAGUAUCUUCUCAGACCACAGUGGAAUAAAACUAGAAAUCAAUACCAAGAACUUCAGAAACUACACAAAUACAUGAAACUUAAACAGCAUGUUCCUGAACAAUCAUUGAGUCAAUGAAGAAAUUAAGAUAUAAUUUUUAAAAUUUUUUAAAUAAAUGAAAAUCAUGCACAACAUACAAAAACCUGUGUGAUACAGGAAAAGCAGUGUUCAGAGGGAAUUUUAUAGCAUUAAAUGCUUACAUCAAAAAAGUGGAACGAUCACAAGUUAGUAAUCUAAUGUUGCACAUCAAAGAACUAGAAAAACCAGAAAAGCCAAAGCCAAAGUUAUUAGAACAAAAGAACUAACAAAGAUCAGAGCAGAAUAAAAUGGAGACCAAAAAAAUUACUAAAGAUCAACAAAACAAAAGGUUAGUUCUUUGAAAAGGUAAACAAAUCAAUAAACCACUAGCUAAACUAAAGAAAAGAGAAGACUCAACUAUGAUCAGAAAUGAAAAACAGACAUUACAAAUGAUACCACAGAAAUAUAAAAGAUCAUCAGAAACUAUUAUGAACAACUAUAUGCUCACAAAUCCAAAAACCUAGAGAAAAUAGAUAAAUUCCUGGAAACAUACAAUCUGCUGAGAUUGAACCAGGAAGAAAGAGAACUCCUGAACAGGCUAAUGAUGAGUAGCAAGAAUUAAUUAGAAGAAAAAAAAAAAAAA
rnacentral:lncRNA from 1 species